rnacentral:rRNA from 1 species
UACAGAGGUCUCAAGCGUUGUUCGGAUUCAUUGGGCGUAAAGGGCGCGUAGGCGGCGGGGUAAGUCGGGUGUGAAAUCUCAGAGCUCAACCCUGGAAUGCCGGUGGAUACUGUCGGGCUCGAAUCCGGAAGAGGUGAGUGGAAUUCCUGGUGUAGCGGUGAAAUGCGCAGAUAUCAGGAGGAACACCAAUGGCGAAGGCAGCUCACUGGGACGGUAUUGACGCUGAGACGCGAAAGCGUGGGGAGCAAACAGG